GAGAAUGGCUGAAUGGUUAAGGCAGCAGUCUUAAAAACUGUGGGUUCAGAAAUGGGCUUGUGGGUUCAAAUCCCACAUCUACCG
rnacentral:tRNA from 1 species